rnacentral:rRNA from 1 species
UACAGAGGUCUCGAGCGUUGUUCGGAUUCAUUGGGCGUAAAGGGUGCGUAGGCGGCGCGGUAAGUCGGGUGUGAAAUCUCGGAGCUUAACUCCGAAACUGCAUUCGAUACUGCCGUGCUUGAGGACUGGAGAGGAGACUGGAAUUUACGGUGUAGCGGUGAAAUGCGUAGAUAUCGUAAGGAAGACCAGUGGCGAAGGCGGGUCUCUGGACAGUUCCUGACGCUGAGGCACGAAGGCCAGGGGAGCAAACGGG